rnacentral:lncRNA from 1 species
GGACUUACGCGAGAAGCUUUGAGGGCAUGAAGGGCACUGCCAUGGCUUCUCACCUGUGUGGGUGCGCAGAUGGACUUUCAGGUGGGCCUUUCGUGUGAAGCGCUGAAUGCAUGAAGGGCACUGUAAUGGCUUCUUGUCUUUGUGGGCUCGUAGGUGUCUAUUCAUGCUGGACUUACAUGAGAAGCUUUGAGGGCAUGAAGGGCACUGAAAUGGCUUCUCGCCUUUGUGGGUGCUCAGGUGGUCUUUCAGGUGGGUCGUUUGUGAGAAGCUCUGAGGGCA